GUUCCUAUCUUGUAGAAUUUGUCACGGACAGGCCCUCUCCAGGGCGGCUGCCAGGUGGGCCAGGCUAUGGAAAAGAGGUGAAACUACAAAAGGGCAAGGACGAGGACCCGUGAGGGAAUCGAAUAAGAACAGACCAGUCAUCUUCUUCCUCUGUCCAAGAACCUGCUCCUAUAGCUUCUUGCUAUCCCUCUCAAAUCUCUGUUACAUCUAGUUUAGAUUCAUUCUGAUUCUUUCCCAAUUUAUAUUCAUACUCUUGCUAUUGUGAUUUGGAGGUCUAGGAUCGUAACAAUUGGUAACCAGAGCCUUGUUCUUGGGAAUCCACCAAAAUUUUUCCCCAAAUUAGAUCCAAGCACUGCUGAAUAUGAGAGGAUGGAUUGCUCUACCUGCUCCCACCGCCGCGCCCGGAGUCUGCCUCCAUUGACGCCCUCUCGAAGAGGAUGGAUUGCUUGCUACGGAAGAUGGAGGAGGCACAUGCAAGGAUGGGUACCACCCCCAAGACCGUCGCGUCUACGGCAUGGGAGUAGCCCCAUCCUCAAGCACGGCAUCGACGCCCUCCGCUCCGACCUGGGCUCAGGUCGCCGCAUCGGCGCCCUCCACUCCGACCUCGGCGCAGGUCGCCGCCACCGGCGCGUCGGCUUCUUCGCCUACAACCGCGGCCGCCACGACGACCAACAUUGUCUGCACCAACUCGCCUUCGCCGAUGGCUUCGGACAAGGACGACAUGGGCACCGACUCUUUUGCUACCUGUGAUGCAUCCACCUUGAGGGUUUCCAGCAAGCUACCCAACUCGGCCCCUAGCGCCCAAAAAGUGUUUGAUGAAAUGGCACCUCAGCAGAUGGUGUUCAUGGGAGGUUUUCUUGACUCUGCAGACCACAACCUCGGCACUGUGAUGUCCACCCUUCAUUCCUCCAAGGUGCCUCAGAACACAACAACGACGAAUGAUUACAUGUUGCGGGGCUUUCUGCGCAUCCGAAACCACCACAUCAACAAGGGGUCAGUGAAGCGGCUCAAGCACCUCAAAUGGAAGCUUGUAGCAUCCUCGGCUCCAACCACAGCGCCGAAAGCACUCGUUGCUGCUCUGACCUUUGGGCUGACCGCACCAAUAGCAUCAGCGCCCACCCAUGUCCAGGCUUCACCAGCACUAGUUGCUCUGGGUGUAGAAUAAGAGGGCCCCCACCGUCUCGCCCGCAACGGCUUUAUGCUCAGAUGUUUGCCCACUUCACGUUCACAUGGCUUGCACACUCGAGAGCAAGCCAGCAAUCAGGUACAUUACCAACACCAUUGCUGAAUACACAAUUGGUGUUGUUCCUGAUGCAGAAAAGGUGUUUGGGAGAACCAUGGCUCUGAAUCUAUUGCCUACUACUUUAGUCGUGGGACCAGGACCAUCUAUUUGGAAUCCUAAGAAAAUUGACAUUGUGCUAAAACCCCCAUGGUCAUUGUGUCUAGCUGGUGCUAGCUCCAAGGGUGAUUUGGUUGACAUUAGGCAUGCUUGUGAUUUUACUACUCUGAUUUCAUCGCUGCUAUGGCCACAUCUUUAGAGGGACAAUAACACCUUGCUUAGACCAUUACCUUGGCCAUCCUUCAAUUGUCAUACAUUGGUUAUGCAGUUGGAAAAGUUGUUGCCAAUAACGUUUUAUUACUCGGUCAGUAAGUGCAAGAUGAAGUUGCUAACUGAUGGAAUCAGAGAGAUUCUUAUGCUUAGCUACACAAUUGGUGGGUUUCGGUUAGAUCAGCAGUAUGAGCAACUAUCUCAAUGGGAUAGUAAUGGUUUCAGUCCUGGAAAUGUUAGAGUGCAAGGAAAUUAUUUGAUGCUCGACAAGCUGCCAUCAGGGAAAAGAGGUGUUUUAGGAGGCAGAAAGGCUGCAGGGAGCACAAUGGUUGAGCUAUUAUGGAGUUGUAAUAGAACUGGAGCCCGUAAGCUAUUGGAAUGUGGCAACAACCAGCCUGGGAAAUACAUUCACUCCAUGUCUUGGCACUACAAACAACAGACUCUGUCUUGAGUGAUGCACUACAAUUGUUGUUUUUAUGGCCAUCACCUCAAAUCAGAAUAGUAGUUCAGCAUUUUAAUGCUGCAGAAAAGGCUAUUGAUGAACUGCAAUUGAGAAGCAACAUCUGGGAUUUCACUGAAGAUCAGCAAGUUGAUUGCACAGACUUAUAAUUCAUUGAAGCGAGAUAUAACAUAUAGCUGAAAAAUGUACUGCUGAAUGACAAUGCAGUUGCAUGUGGUCUUAGUAGGCAUUCAGACAAGUUGAGAGCGUAUUGAUCCACACAAAGUUGAGUAAUGCUUGCAAUUGUUUCCUUCAUGGUCGGAAUGAGGUUGAUAACACCAUUUCGUGCAGAAAAGAAGUUUUCCAUGUGCAAGACAUCGCAAUUGCUUUUGAGGAGUGGAUCCAUAUGGGUUUCUUUUCAGUUCAGCAGUGCAAUAAUUCUCACAAAACUGUGCAGGAUUCAGUUCAGUGUAGAAAUGCCCCAAAUUGUGCAGUGUGCAUAUCAAAUUAUGCUUCCUUGGGAUCCAGGUGGUGUAAAGCGUGACUCCUUGAAUUACUUCACAUCGGUUUGGAGGCAACCUGUACAACGUGAGGUUCCAGAGCCAUGACAACGCCAAGAAGAUACUAGUGAUCUUCAGUUUUGUGCAACCUCUGCCUGCAAGUGGUUGAUCAUCUUUGUGGCUAUGGACUGGCAUCAUGAUAUAUAUCUUAUUAACCUGAUUGCUGUGAAGCUACAGUGCAAGACAAUGAAUUUAAGCAGCAAUAGCUCCGUUCAUUGGCAAUGGUGCAACCACUCAAUGAUGGAGAUGGUAAGGUCUCUUGGGAGUUGUCAAGGAUCAGUGGAGGUGGUCAUCUCCACUGGAGCAAAUUGUUCACUGAAUCAUGUCAAGAUCGCUAAGCCAAAGACGAAGCACUACUUCAAAUUUCAAUGGGAGCCCGGUGGUUGCGGCUUGAGGGCAAGCCGCAUUUCAAGUGGUGGGGAAUGUCACGGACAGGCCUCUCCAGGGCGGCUGCAAGGUGGGCCAGGCUAUGGAAAAGAGGUGAAACUACAAAAGGGCAAGGACGAGGACCCGUGAGGGCAUCGAACAAGAACAGACCCAACAUGUUCUUCCUCUGUCCAAGAACCUGCUCCUAUAGCUUCUUGCUAUCCCUCUCAAAUCUUUGUUACCUGUAGUCUAGAUUCAUUCUGAUUCUUCCCCAAUUUGUAUUCAUACUCUUGCUAUUGUGAUUUGGAGGUCUAGGACCGUAACAGAAUCUCACAUGCAUAGCAUACACAAGGUGUAUGUGUCUACCAA